rnacentral:tRNA from 1 species
GCCUGGGUGGCUCAGUUGGUUGAGCGUCUGACUUCAGCUCAGAUCACGAUCUCUGGGUUCUUGGGUUCAAGCCCUGCUUUGGGCU